GAAUAAUCUCAGCGCAUGAGCUGAGCCUCACGACGCAUUGCCUCGUUUGCCGCAUUUCGGCAUGGACGUGAGGGUGGUCUUACUUCUGGCUUUGCUCGUUGGAAUAAUCCAUGCUAAUCCCCGCUGCUGGAAUGUAAAAAAUGGCAUCGUCUGCUUCGGCAAGAAUUACUACUACAGUAAAACAACCGAUCCGGAUGGAAGCGUUCAAGAACAAAUGUCUUUUAGCUCCAGCCAAGCGAUAAUAGUUUAGCAGAGUAGAGCACUUGCUUCGAUGUUUUCAUAGCAGAGUGA
rnacentral:lncRNA from 1 species